rnacentral:tRNA from 1 species
GGCAGUGUGGUCUAGUAGGUAGGACAUUGGUCUACAAUAGAUGAGGGUUCUAAUCCCAUCUCUGCCA